rnacentral:rRNA from 1 species
AUUGAACGCUGGCGGCAUGCUUUACACAUGCAAGUCGAACGGCAGCGGGGUAGUGCUUGCACUACUGUCCGGCGAGUGGCGAACGGGUGAGUAAUAUAUCGGAACGUACCGAGUAAUGGGGGAUAACCAAUCGAAAGAUUGGCUAAUACCGCAUACGUCCUACGGGAGAAAGCGGGGGAUCGCAAGACCUCGCGUUAUUCGAGCGGCCGAUAACUGAUUAGCUAGUUGGUGGGGUAAAGGCCUACCAAGGCGACGAUCAGUAGCGGGUCUGAGAGGACGAUCCGCCACACUGGGACUGAGACACGGCCCAGACUCCUACGGGAGGCAGCAGUGGGGAAUUUUGGACAAUGGGGGCAACCCUGAUCCAGCCAUGCCGCGUGUAUGAAGAAGGCCUUCGGGUUGUUGAGUACUUUUGUUAGGGAAGAAAAGGGAAGUGCUAAUACCUCUUUUUGCUGACGGGACCUAAGGAAUAAGCACCGGCUAACUACGUGCCAGCAGCCGCGGUAAUACGUAGGGUGCGAGCGUUAAUCGUAAUUACUGGGCGUAAAGCGAGCGCUUACGGUUAUUUAUGCGGGAUGUGAAAUCCCCGGGGUUGACCGGGAACUGCGUGCUGAACUGGAUAGUUGUAGUGUGUCGUAGUGGGUUGAAUUGCACUUUGAUGGUUGUGUGCGAGAUGGUGGUGGGUGUCCUAUGGUGUGGUGUUCUCGUGUGGGUGUGUUUUGGGUUGUGUUGUGUGUUGUGUUGUGUGUGAGGUAUGUGUUACUGUGUGUGUUGG